rnacentral:rRNA from 1 species
UGGGGAAUAUUGCACAAUGGGGGAAACCCUGAUGCAGCGACGCCGCAUGAGCGAAGAAGGUUUUCGAAUCGUAAAGCUCUGUCCUAUGAGAAGAUAAUGACGGUAUCAUAGGAGGAAGCCCCGGCUAAAUACGUGCCAGCAGCCGCGGUAAUACGUAUGGGGCGAGCGUUGUCCGGAAUUAUUGGGCGUAAAGGGUACGUAGGCGGUCUAUUAAGUCAGGUGUGAAAGCGUGAGGCUUAACCUCAUUAAGCACUUGAAACUGAUAGACUUGAGUGAAGGAGAGGAAAGUGGAAUUCCUAGUGUAGCGGUGAAAUGCGUAGAUAUUAGGAGGAAUACCGGUGGCGAAGGCGACUUUCUGGACUUUUACUGACGCUCAGGUACGAAAGCGUGGGGAGCAAACAGG